AUACGGAGGGUGCGAGCGUUACUCGGAGUCACUGGGCGUAAAGCGUCCGUAGGCGGUCGGGUAAGUCGUGUGUGAAAGCCCCGGGCUCAACCUGGGAAGUGCACCCGAUACUGCUCGACUCGAGUGCGGGAGAGGAUGGCGGAAUUCCCGGUGUAGCGGUGAAAUGCGUAGAGAUCGGGAGGAACACCAGUGGCGAAGGCGGCCAUCUGGCCCGCAACUGACGCUGAGGGACGAAAGCGUGGGGAGCAAACAGGAUUAGAAACCCUAGUAGUCC
rnacentral:rRNA from 1 species